rnacentral:rRNA from 1 species
CUCCUACGGGAGGCAGCAGUGGGGAAUCUUGCACAAUGGAGGAAACUCUGAUGCAGCGACGCCGCGUGAGCGAUGAAGCCCUUCGGGCGUAAAGCCCUUUCGACGGGAACGAUAAUGACGGUACCCGAAGAAGAAGCUGCGGCUAACUACGUGCCAGCAGCCGCGGUAAUAC